rnacentral:rRNA from 1 species
UACGGGGGGGGCAAGCGUUGUUCGGAAUUACUGGGCGUAAAGGGCUCGUAGGCGGCCAACUAAGUCGGAUGUGAAAUCCCCAGGCUUAACCUGGGAACUGCAUCCGAUACUGGAUGGCUUGAAUCCGGGAGAGGGAUGCAGAAUUCCAGGUGUAGCGGUGAAAUGCGUAGAUAUCUGGAGGAAUACCGGUGGCGAAGGCAGGUCUCUGGGCCACUACUGACGCUGAGAAGCGAAAGCAUGGGGAGCGAACAGG